GGCGGACGGGUGAGUAACACGUGAGCAACCUGCCUUUCAGAGGGGGAUAACGUUUGGAAACGGACGCUAAUACCGCAUAACAUCGAGAGAUGGCAUCAUUUUCCUAUCAAAGGAGCAAUCCGCUGAAAGAUGGGCUCGCGCCCGAUUAGAUAGUUGGUGAGGUAACGGCCCACCAAGUCUGCGAUCGGUAGCCGGACUGAGAGGUUGAUCGGCCACAUUGGGACUGAGACACGGCCCAGACUCCUACGGGAGGCAGCAGUGGGGAGUAUUGCACAAUGGGGGAAACCCUGAUGCAGCGACGCCGCGUGAGUGAAGACGGUCUUCGGAUUGUAAAGCUCUGUUGUGGGGGACGAUAAUGACGGUACCCCACUAGAAAGCCACGGCUAACUACGUGCCAGCAGCCGCGGUAAUACGUAGGUGGCGAGCGUUGUCCGGAAUUACUGGGUGUAAAGGGAGCGCAGGCGGGAAGCCAAGUUAGAUGUGAAAUACCGCAGCUCAACUGCGGGGCUGCAUCUAAAACUGGUUUUCUUGAGUGAAGUAGAGGUAGGCGGAAUUCCUAGUGUAGCGGUGAAAUGCGUAGAUAUUAGGAGGAACACCAGUGGCGAAGGCGGCCUACUGGGCUUUAACUGA
rnacentral:rRNA from 1 species